rnacentral:rRNA from 1 species
UACGAAGGGGGCUAGCGUUGUUCGGAUUUACUGGGCGUAAAGCGCACGUAGGCGGAUCGUUAAGUCGGGGGUGAAAUCCUGGAGCUCAACUCCAGAACUGCCUUCGAUACUGGCGAUCUUGAGUCCGGAAGAGGUGAGUGGAACUCCUAGUGUAGAGGUGAAAUUCGUAGAUAUUGGGAAGAACACCGAUGGCGAAGGCAGCCAUCUGGACCGACACUGACGCUGAGGCGCGAAAGCGUGGGGAGCAAACAGG